rnacentral:rRNA from 1 species
CCUACGGGAGGCAGCAGGGGGGAAUAUUGCACAAUGGGGGAAACCCUGAUGCAGCGACGCCGCGGGAGUGAAGAAGGAUCUCGGUACGGAAAGCUCUAACAGCAGGGAAGAAAAUGACGGUACCUGACGAAGAAGCCCCGGCUAACGACGUGCCAGCAGCCGCGGUAAUACGUAGGGGGCAAGCGUUAUCCGGAUUUACGGGGUGUAAAGGCAGCGUAGACGGCAGCACAAGUCUGGAGUGAAAUCCCGGGGCUUAACCCCGGAACGGCUUUUGAAACUGUGCGGCUGGAGUGCAGGAGGGGUAAGCGGCAUUCCUCGUGUAGCGGUGACAUGCGUCGAUAUUAGGCGGAUCACCGGUGGCGCCGGCGGCUUACUGGACUGUACCUGACGUUGAGGCUCGCCAUCGUGGGGAGCAAACCGGAUUAGCUACCCCAGUAGUC